GAUGAACGCUGGCGGCGUGCCUAAUACAUGCAAGUCGAGCGAACAGACGAGGAGCUUGCUCCUCUGACGUUAGCGGCGGACGGGUGAGUAACACGUGGAUAACCUACCUAUAAGACUGGGAUAACUUCGGGAAACCGGAGCUAAUACCGGAUAAUAUAUUGAACCGCAUGGUUCAAUAGUGAAAGACGGUUUUGCUGUCACUUAUAGAUGGAUCCGCGCCGCAUUAGCUAGUUGGUAAGGUAACGGCUUACCAAGGCGACGAUGCGUAGCCGACCUGAGAGGGUGAUCGGCCACACUGGAACUGAGACACGGUCCAGACUCCUACGGGAGGCAGCAGUAGGGAAUCUUCCGCAAUGGGCGAAAGCCUGACGGAGCAACGCCGCGUGAGUGAUGAAGGUCUUCGGAUCGUAGAACUCUGUUAUUAGGGAAGAACAAAUGUGUAAGUAACUAUGCACGUCUUGACGGUACCUAAUCAGAAAGCCACGGCUAACUACGUG
rnacentral:rRNA from 1 species